GCGUGGGUGAAGAAGGUCUUCGGAUUGUAAAGCCCUUUCGGCGGGGACGAUGAUGACGGUACCCGCAGAAGAAGCCCCGGCUAACUUCGUGCCAGCAGCCGCGGUAAUACGAAGGGGGCUAGCGUUGCUCGGAAUUACUGGGCGUAAAGGGCGCGUAGGCGGCACCAUCAGUCAGGCGUGAAAUUCCCGGGCUUAACCUGGGGACUGCGCUUGAUACAGUGGAGCUAGAGGACGGAAGAGGCUCGUGGAAUUCCCAGUGUAGAGGUGAAAUUCGU
rnacentral:rRNA from 1 species